rnacentral:rRNA from 1 species
AUCCUAUCUUUCGAGCGGGGCAGUCAAGGCCUGAUUCUCCACGCUUCCAGGUUUGCGUUCGGAUCAUGUGGAUUUGAACUGUUUCUUCAAAGUUUGCCGUCGGAUCAGGUGUGCGAGGCCUGUUUCUUCAAACUUUGCCCCCCGUGCCGGCGCGGCUGCCAGCGAGACACGGGUGCCGGCGAGGCUUCCAGCGAUCCACGGGUGCCGGCGCGGCUGCGAGCGAGACACGGGUCCCGGCGCGG